CCUACGGGAUGCUGCAGUAGGGAAUAUUGCUCAAUGGGGGCAACCCUGAAGCAGCAACGCCGCGUGGAGGAUGAAGGUUUUCGGAUUGUAAACUCCUUUUGUUAGAGAAGAUAAUGACGGUCUCUAACUAAUCAGCACCGGCUAACUCCGUGCCAGCAGCCGCGGUAAUACGGAGGGUGCACACGUGACACGGAAUCACUGGGCGUAAAGUGCGCGUCGGCGGGAUAGCAAGUCAGCUGUGACAUCCUAUGGCUUAACCAUAGAAAUGCAUUUGAAACUGUUAUUCUAGAGUGUGGGUGAGGUAGGUGGAAUUCGUGGUGUAGGGGUAAAAUCCGUAGAGAUCAAGAGGAACACUCAUUGCGAAGGCGACCGGCUAGAACAUAACUGACGCUGAUGCGCGAAAGCGUGGGUAGCAAACAGGAUUAGAUACCCUAGUAGUC
rnacentral:rRNA from 1 species